CCGGGCGGCGCGCCUCGGGCUCGGCAUUCGCCUCCCGCUCGGCGGACUCGCAGCGACCCGCGGACGCGGCGCCGGCGUGGCCCUGGAGGCAGCUUGUAUCUUUCAUGGUUUUUAAACAUCUUGUAAAAGUACCUGACAAGGCAAUUCCAGAACCUCUUUGGUGUCAUGUAGUGUGCUCUUGACUGAUGAAGAAUGAUGAAACUGGCCCACUAUCUUUUUUCUUUGAGACAGAGUCUCGCUUUGUUGCCCAGGCUAGAGUGAGUGC